CGCGGGGGCGGACUGCUUGGGUCCUUGCCGUUAAGGUUUCAACCUGUUGGGUCAAGGUAUUCACGAGCUUAUCCUGUUCUUCCGACCUUUUCUCAUAGGUGGCGAACAUCUUUUUAAACUCCUCGAGCGUCGCGGCGUUGGCUUGUUCGUUGGCCACGGAUACGUCCGCUACUAGAGUGUGGAGAUCGGUGCUGCUGCCUCCGUUAAGAGGAGUUUGCACAUAAUAAAAGCUUUGAUCGCUAUGAAAAGGUUUUUGAGCUUAAGUUGAAACAAUAUGAUUUUUGUUUUAGAAAAUCUUGUGAUUCACUUGCUAGAACUGAAGAAGAAAGUUUUGUUAUUGACUUUCCUAGGCAUAAACUGGUCACUGAUGUUUUUCUUGCAUCCACAUAUGUCUCGAAAGAACCUAGGAAAUUUCAUGAACCGAAAUUGCAAUUAUUAGGUUUGAAAUUUUGAAGUCUGCAAAUAUCUUUGAGUUUGAGAUUGAUUGUUUGUGUGCUGAAAAUGAUUCUAAACAUGUAGGAUUGUUCUUUGAGGAUAUUCUAGUGUAUAACACUUUCUUUGAUAAACCUGUUGCACAGUUGAAAAUAAUUUUCACUGAUUCUGAAUAUGUGAACUUGAUCUUUGAUGAUAUCUGGGUCUGUAAUAUUUUCUUUGAUAUGGAUCAUAGAUGGAGGAAUCAUACUGUUUUGUGCUUUGGAGACAUUCUGGUCUACAAUAAUUUCUUUGACAUGAUAACACACUUUAUUUGUCCAAAACAAGCUGAGAAAGGUACAGUUGAAAAGAGGGGCUAUAAUGAUCAGAGUAUUAAAGAUCAGUCCUUGACUAAGUUGGAGAUACAACAAGCAAACCUUGAAAACUGUCUAGCCGUCAGCUUUGACAUAGGAGCAGUCCAAGGAUCAUAUCUCAACAACCAAAAGGAAUUAAGCAACAAACUCGACUGCAAUGGAAACUUAACUCAACAGGGUCUCACCUCGAAUUGGAAUCAUGUCCAAAGCUGCUUAGAGCCAUGUACAUCUAAAAGAGCUUGGAAGCAUACAAGAAGAAACUACAAGCGUAAGGAAGAUUAGAGAUUCAAACCACCUGAUUUGAACCAGGAGAGACAUCAGGACGUCACUUUCUUCAUCCUCAUCAAAGAAGUCCCUCCAGACGCAGCAUACAAGCCAAAACCGAGAAAACACAAAUUUGGGAUAAAACUCUUACUUUAUGAUGAAUUUGCAUGUGCUAACUUGUUUUUUUUCAAUGUAUCAUGUUUGAGGAAUGCAUCAGAAAUAAGGAGAGCAAAAUAGAUCAGUUUGUUCCACAUUUCAGAACCAGCCAGCAACAAUGCCUAUGAAAGAGGCUUGCAAGUGGGAGAGGAUGAUGUGAUCUUGGCAAGCAAAGGAACUGAUAUGACUAAAGAGAUGGAACAGCUUGUACCAGGAAUUAAGGAAGACAAAGAAAGAACCAUGAAGUCGCAUGGAUGUGAUUAUGUGGAUACAACUGAGUGGAUGCAACUCAGUGAAUAUGAUUCUGAAGAUCUAACCCCGUGGAUGCAACCCCGUGGAUGCGAAUCCGUGAAUGAACUUGAAUGGAUGUCUUACUCCAAAGAUCAGAAAGAAGACCCUUUGGUUACUGAAGAAACAAAGGACAAGGACUUAAAUGUUCCCCUUGAUCCAAUGACUAGGUCCAAGCAGGCGAGGUUCCAUGAAGCUCUUCAUCAACUUCUACACACUAUCCAUGGCAGUCUAGAGUGUGCUUAUCCAACCUCACUGUUUGUGAUUCAAGCAGCAUAGAUCUUCAUCAAGAGAGGUGUUGUGACUUGCACUCUUUUCCUUGGUUUGGUUUUGUACCAUUGGGUUUUCCAAACAAGGUUUUUAAUGAGGUUUGGACACAACACUACAUAUAAGCCUCUUGAUGAAACUAAACCAAACCAGGCCCAUUUCUAUCAACAAUUUUGUCCAUAAGCAAGGAAGGAGAGGAGCCUAACUUUUGAUUUCAAACUUGGUCUUUGUAUUAGCUGUCUUUUGCUGUCUUGUUAUUUCCUAAGUGUUUCGAAACUCUAUAAGUAUGUUGUACUCACUUCUAUGCAAUCUAUCAAACUCUUUUCUAAUAAAAAUUUUCUCUGAAUCUUAUUUGAUCAAGCUUGUCUAGUUUAUUUCGGAUCCUUGAUCCUUACAUUGCAAGUAAACCCUUGAUAGGCCAAGAGUCGUUCCGCAACUCUUAGAAGUAUCAACUCAAUCCACUGCUUAGUUCAUCAUCACAAUCGUUGGAGAGCAUUCAGGGACGUGAUCAACUUAUCCAGGAUCACUUCAGGAGUUGAGCCAUACUCUUCUUCAAAAGGAUGUAUCAUUUUCAAGUCGAUCUUCUCAGCCAUUUGAAACUGUUCUUUUUGUUGCAUGUUCAUGAGAAAAUAUCGGUUUACUUGAUGAUAUACUUACUAAAGGAGAAACUAUUACUUUUAAAGGUUGCUUUGAAAGACAAA